CGUGGGUAACCUGCCUUAUAGUGGGGGAGUAGCCUUUCGUAAAGGAAGAUUAAUACCGCAUAAGAUUGUAGUAUCGCAUGAUAUAGCAAUUAAAGGAAGCAAUCCGCUAUAAGAUGGACCCGCGUCGCAUUAGCUAGUUGGUGAGGUAAUGGCUCACCAAGGCGACGAUGCGUAGCCGACCUGAGAGGGUGAUCGGCCACAUUGGGACUGAGACACGGCCCAGACUCCUACGGGAGGCAGCAUG
rnacentral:rRNA from 1 species